rnacentral:lncRNA from 1 species
GCUAUAUAUAGCUAGCUAGCUCGCUCGCUAGCGCUCGGUGCACCGGCACGGCAAGCAAGAAGAGGAGCAGCAGCAGGGGAGAGGAGAGGAUAGCACGGCACGAGACUAGGAGAGAGGCAGGCGACACCGCGACAGACAUGGGAGGAGAGGAGAGGAUAGCACGGCACGAGACUAGGAGAGAGGCAGGCGACACCGCGACAGACAUGGGAGGAGAGGAGUGGAGCGCGGAGGAGCGCAAUGAUGCGUGUCUAGACGGGAGGGGGAAGGGUGAUGAUGGCUCGGAGGCGGGGCGG